UACGUAGGAUGCUAGCGUUGUCCGGAUUUACUGGGCGUAAAGCGCGCGCAGGCGGCACUGUAAGUAAGGUGUGAAAUCUCCCUGCUCAACGGGGAGGGUGCACUUUAGACUGCAGAGCUAGAGGACGGUAGAGGGGUGUGGAAUUGCUGGUGUAGCGGUGAAAUGCGUAGAGAUCAGCAGGAACACCCGUGGCGAAGGCGGCCCCCUGGGCCGAACCUGACGCUGAGGCGCGAAGGCUAGGGGAGCGAACGGG
rnacentral:rRNA from 1 species